GGGCCUCUCUCGGCAGCACAUAUACUAAAAUUGGAACGAUACAGAGAAGAUUAGCAUGGACCCUGAGUGGACUGAAAUAAUCUUGGCCUAGGUUAGAUUGUA